GUGCUACUACAACCGCUCUGGAAAGGUUUAAGUAUCUAAUAAGAUCACCUUUUAAAACAGGCGAGUCUGAGUCUAAGA
rfam:Lysinibacillus sp. F5 Contig33, whole genome shotgun sequence.